GCGCAGCGAAAGCGAGUCUGAAUAGGGCGUAUAGUAUUUGGUCGUAGACCCGAAACCAGGUGAUCUACCCAUGGUCAGGUUGAAGUUCAGGUAACACUGAAUGGAGGACCGAACCGACUUACGUUGAAAAGUGAGCGGAUGAACUGUGGGUAGCGGAGAAAUUCCAAUCGAACUUGGAGAUAGCUGGUUCUCUCCGAAAUAGCUUUAGGGCUAGCCUCAAGUGAUGAUUAUUGGAGGUAGAGCACUGUUUGGACGAGGGG
rnacentral:rRNA from 13 species